UGGGGAAUAUUGCACAAUGGGGGGAAACCCUGAUGCAGCAACGCCGCGUGAGUGAAGAAGUAUUUCGGUAUGUAAAGCUCUAUCAGCAGGGAAGAAGAAAGACGGUACCUGACUAAGAAGCACCGGCUAAAUACGUGCCAGCAGCCGCGGUAAUACGUAUGGUGCAAGCGUUAUCCGGAUUUACUGGGUGUAAAGGGAGCGCAGGCGGCCGUGCAAGCCAGAGGUGAAAACCCGGGGCUCAACCCCGCGGAUUGCCUUUGGAACUGUAUGGCUUGAGUACUGGAGGGGCAGGCGGAAUUCCUGGUGUAGCG
rnacentral:rRNA from 1 species